rnacentral:lncRNA from 1 species
CAUGGACAAGUUCUUCGUCAACGUCAUCAACCCUUACCUCGCGGAGGUAAAGAGACACCCUCAAACACUUUGGGUGGAGGAUGGUAUCCUCCACAAAGAAGAUCUGAAGGGGCCUAUCAAGGAGGGGAACACCGAGGCCAGGAUAGAAGAGGUCGAGCAAGAAGUCUUCAAGUACAAGUUGAUGAUCGAACGUGGUGUCGAGGCCAACUUCGUUAUCAUCACCGAGCUGAAGAAGCAACAUGAGAAGGAUAUGAAGGAAGUGCGAUCAAUCAUAUCCGCACUGGAAACCAAAGUGUUCGAGCUUCAAGGGCACAUCUAUGACCUUCAAAACUAAAACUGUGAGUAUGAACUAAAGUUUUUGCGCAUGGGCUUAUCUGCCGAAAGUAGGAUCCUGGAGACUGGAGAAUCAUGUGUGGAGGGAGGACCUCUGCCAUGGAAGCGUUUCGCUAAGGAUUACCUGAGGAACAAGAACAAGGAUGAAGAGUGAAAUAUUCAUGGGUAAUGGCAUUCCCUUAGCUUGUUCCAAGCUUGGGGGAGUGCCCGGUAUCUUUAAUUUUUAUCCUUUAUCUUUUAUGGUAAAGUUUAGUGUCGUAUCAUGUCUAGGGAGGUUAUGUUAUGAAAUAGGUGUUUGCAUUGAGGUCUAUCACUCCUUUGUGGAGAGUCUUGUAUCCGUGAGUGUGCAGUUCUCUAUGAUAAAAUAUUAAUGAGAAAUUUAUUAGUUUCUUCGCUGCACCUAGUAUUCGCUUCAUGCAAUCGACCUUAUAUGUUGAUUCUUAUGGGAGUAUUGAUCUUACAUAUCAGGUAUGGCUUCGAAAACUUUAUUUAAUCUUGUCAAACAUAGCAUUGGUCAUAACAACAAGCAUGAGUUUUUUUCUACUAGCGACAUAGCCAAAACCUUUAUGUUCUUAUGCUUGAAGUGUUAUGCUGACAAGGAACACAACUUGAUGUUUCAUGCCAAUUCUUUAUGUUAAACCUUAUAUUGUUUUGCAUCCAAGUUAGCAUCAUUUGUCUGCUCUCAAAAUCCUUUGCUAGCCAACCCUUGUACUAAGCGGGAAUACUGCUUGUGCAUCCAUACCUUGAAACCUCAACCUUCCCAAGAGUCCACCAUACCUUCCCUUUAUGUGGUAUUUCACCGUCACUCCUAAAGUAUAUUACUCAUGUGCUAUCUUUAAACCUCCAAAUAUUACUCCCUAUUUUGUGCCUCUAUUUUAGCCCAUGAGGAAGUAGUAGAUAAUUCAUGAUCUUCUCAUACUUGACAAGUUUUAUCCUGGGUUUGCAUGUUUAAUCUGCGAACCCCUAAUACGAGGAGCGACUGGCAUGAGCGCGCCCAGCUCAUAAAAGAUAAUAACAACAAUCAAAACCUCCUUCAUGCUUUGUUGAUGAGAAAUCAGAAAACUUUGGUGGUGAUAAACAAAGGAGACUAAGGGGAUGUGAUCGUCCCCACUUUGGGAGUCGUUCCUCAAAACUUGUCCAGCAUGAGAAGUAUUGGGCUAUAUUCUAGCAUUCGUUGACAAAUUAUGCACCUCUCAAAAUCUUGUUUUACAAUCUUGUUAAUUUCAAAAUUUCUAAAAGCUCUAGCACAUGAGCUUUCCCUACUUCCCUCUGCGAAGGGCUAAUCUUUUAUUUUUAUGUUGAGUCAGUAAACCUACUUCCUUCUAUCCUAUAAAAGAGCGGGCACUUUAUGUUGACAAAGAUGCAUAAAUUUAUAUCGUUUCAUUGAGAAUUGCCAAAUCACAACUUUGUUGACACUAUCAUUAAGAUGAGUAAGUUGUUUGUUAAGCCUAGCUAAAGCAAACAUCUUCCUUUUUGUUAGCAUUUUCACUUCUUGACUAAUAUCAUGUUCUUUCAAAAAACUUCAAUUGAUCUCUUCAAAAUAUAAGAGCAAGAGCAAAAGUUAAAAUUUAUUAGUUGUUCUUUGACCAAGGACAUGUUUGCCAUGGUUUGAUGAGUUUUCUUAGCCCUACUUUUGAUUGUGAUUGAUACUACUCUUUCAUAUGAGCCUUAUGAGUUGAGGUUGAUGUUGAGGAUGGUUGAGUUUAGUAGAGAAAUUAUGAUGCUUCUUGUCAUUAUUCUUAUUUAUCGACACUUCACUCUCUAAACUUGUGGACAGGUUUACCAAGCUCAGUAUUCUCUUGGGGACAAGCGAGGUCUAAGCUUGGGGGAGUUGAUACGUCCAAAAUGCAUCACUAUUUUGUAUCAUAAUUUGUCUCUAUUCAUUGAUAUAUUUCACAUUAUCAUGAUGUACUUAUAAUGUUUUGGCUUAUUCUACAUAGUUUACAGCUUUCCGGUGCCGAAACAGCAGACGCCGGAUUCAGCGGAGAAAAUAGCACGAAGAGUUACCAUAUCAGAACAUCUCAAACUGCGCUGAAAAUUUGAGGGAAGGAGUUUCGAACUGAUCACGAAGACGGGCCGAACAAGGGCUGGAGGGGGGCCAUAGGGCACCCACGCGACCUGUUGGCGCGGGCCACCCCUAGGCCGCGCCCAAAGGCCGCCUAGGUGGUGGGUCCCUCCUCCGAUGCUCUCCUUUGGCCUAUAUGAUCCUCGUGACCUAAAGUUACGGGGACAUAAGUUUUUCCGGAGUUCCGACGCCGCUCUCGGCAGAAACCUACAGAGAAGAAAAGACCUUUCCGACGUGGAUUCCGCCGGGGACAAAUCCUCCCGGAGGGGGAGAUCGUCAUCACCAUCGUCACGAGCAUCAUCGAGAUCAUCAUCACCAUCACCCUCGACACCAGCACUAUCUCCAUCUUCACCCCAUCUUACUUUCCCAUUGCAAUCGGAGUUGUACCUUGCACUAUUCAUCCCCUCAACUCUACCGGUGUUGAUUACUCUUUUGUGGUGAAUGCUAUUGAGAUUUGUUGGAGAAUUAUUGUUAUGAAUAGAUUGUUUAUCAUACUUUCAUCACCUCUGAUCAUGAUCUCUUUUAUGUCUCGUGAGUAGUUCCUUUAGUUCUUGAGGGAAUGGGAGAAGUCUAGUUGCUAGUAGUCAUAUGAUGUUGAAGUAAUAUGUUUUAAUUGAUACUUAAGUUAUGGUGUUAUUCUUCUGGUGGUGUUAUGUGAACGUCGACUACAUAACACUUCGCCUUUUUAAGUACCUAGAGGGAUGCAUCAUGUAUAAAGAAUGCUUAUGUUGGGUUGCCGGAGUGACACUAACCUGAACGCCAGUUCGCAUACUUUUGCACGAGCGAGCAUUGGAUCCUAAAGCUUAUUGCUAUGGUUAGGCUUUGGCUUAACUUCUCUCUUGUAUCUGUGGAUGCUUGUAAGAGAGAUUAAUCAUAAGAGUGUACUUGUCGUAGCCUAGAUGGCGCACUAGUUAAGAUCCACCCACAUAACACUUAUCAAUACAAAACAUAGUACUAGACAAAAUAUGGCGAAAGCACUUGACUAUCUCUCCCGUGUGUCCUCAGGAACGCCUUAGUCUUUAUAAGCUUAGUCCCUCGGCUUAUCCUUUGUGUUCAAAAGGAUUGGGUCACUUGCUGCACCUCAGCACCAUUUAUUUUCCCUACAUUUAUUUCCUUGUUGCUUAUACAGAAAACCCAUAAAAAGUUACCUUUCAGUACUUGCAGUUAUUCCUUGCUCAAGAUCGCUUGUGAGUACCUUCUGCUCCUCGUUGGGUUUGACACUCCUACUUAUCUAAAAGUCUACGAUAGAUCCCCUAUACUUGUGGGUCAUCAUACACUCACUUGAUACAGAAUAUCCAAGCAAAAUAAAAAAUCUGGAUUACAAGACCAUGAAGGUCUACUGGUUCGGACAUAAGUUUGAGGCUCACGGCGGAAGCGACUCGAGGAAUCUCAAGUUCCCAUGGGACUCCAUUCCCAGAGGAACAACUGACCUAGAUAAAUUCCUAUCUCCCAAGGCUGCUAUCCUUGACUCCUAGGUUCCAGGGUUGACGGCAUCGUGCUCCUCUCCGAGCGCAAUCUGGCCAAGACAAUAGCCAAGGACAAGCCAGUGAGUACUUUGAAUGUACUCGCAAACAUCAAGAAGACAGAUAAGUUAAAGCAGGUGAGAUGCAUGCAUAAUUCCAUUAAUAACUAUAUCAUGCCAUAAGAAUUAAUUCACGCAUGCUUUCGUGCAGAUAAACCAUUUCCACCAAUGUUGUAUAAGCAAGCAAGGGAUGGUACAGUAAAUUAUAAGUUUGUCGGUCGGGCGUGUGAGGCGACACCUGAGAAGGACAAGCAAUUAUAAACCACAGUCGGUCCUCUUGGCGACACCGCAUAGAGGGACUUGUAAAAGGAAAAAUUACUAUACAUGCCACAGUCGGGCGUCUGAACGACACCACAUAAAGGGCUUAUAUGCAAGUAGUAAUAGUUGCCACGACCGGGAGUCUAAGCAACACCACAGAAAGUGUUGGGGAACGUCGCAUGGGAAACAAAAAAAUUCCUACGCGCACGAAGACCUAUCAUGGUGAUGUCCAUCGACGAGAGGGGAUUUCUGAUCUACGUACCCUUGUAGAUCGCAUAGCAGAAGCGUUAGUGAACGCGGUCGAUGUAGUGGAACUUCCUCACAUCCCUCGAUCCGCCCCGCGAACCGUCCCACGAACCGUCCCGCGAUCCGUCCCACGAUCCGCUCCGAUCUAAUGCCGAACGGACGGCACCUCCGCGUUCAGCACACAUACAGCUCGACGAUGAUCUCGGCCUUCUUGAUCCAGCAAGAGAGACGGAGAGGUAGAUGAGUUCUCCGACAGCGUGACGGCGCUCCAGAGGUUGGUGGUGAUCUAAUCUCAGCAGGGCUCCGCCCGAGCUCCGCAGAAACGCGAUCUAGAGGAAAAACCGUGGAGGUAUGUGGUCGGGCUGCCGUGGCAAAAGUUGUCUCAAAUCAGCCCUAAUACCUCAUUAUAUAUAGGAGGGAGGGGGAGGGAAGAGGCAGCCUCAAACCCUCAAGGUUUGGCCGAAAUUGGAGGUGGAGGAGUCCUACUCCAAUCCUACUUGGAGUAGGAUUCCACCUUCCCACUUGGAAACUCUUUCCACCUUGUGUUUUUUCCUUCUCAAACCUUAUGGGCCUUAGUGGGAACUUAUUCCAGCCCACUAGGGGCUGGUUUAUCUCUUCCCAUAGCCCAUGAAACCCCUUGGGGCGUGACACCCCUCCCGAUGGUCCCCGGCACCCCUCCCGGCACUCCCGGUACACUACCAAUGAGCCCGACCCUUUUCUGGUGACCAAAACAGGACUUCCUAUAUAUCAAUCUUUACCUCCGGACCAUUCCGGAGCUCCUCGUGACGUCCUGGAUCUCAUCCGGCACUCCGAACAAUAUUCCGUAACCAACCAUAUAACUCAAAUACGCAUAAAACAACGUCGAACCUUAAGUGUGCAGACCCUGCGGGUUCGAGAACUAUGUAGACAUCACCCGAGGGACUCCUCGGUCAAUAUCCAAUAGCGGGACCUGGAUGCCCAUAUUGGAUCCUACAUAUUCUUCCAAGAUCUUAUCGCUUGAACCUCAGUGACAAGGAUUCCUAUAAUCCCGUAUGUCAUUCCCUUUGUCCUUCGGUAUGUUACUUGCCCGAGAUUCGAUCGUCAGUAUCCGCAUACCUAUUUCAAUCUCGUUUACCAGCAAGUCUCUUUACUCGUUCCGUAAUACAAGAUCCCGCAACUUACACUAAGUCACAUUGCUUGCAAGGCUUGUGUGUGAUGUUGUAUUACCGAGUGGGCCCCGAGAUACCUCUCCGUCACACGGAGUGACAAAUCCCAGUCUCGAUCCAUACUAACUCAACGAACACCUUCGGAGAUACCUGUAGAGCAUCUUUAUAGUCACCCAGUUACGUUGCGACGUUUGAUACACACAAAGCAUUCCUCCGGUGUCAGUGAGUUAUAUGAUCUCAUGGUCAUAGGAACAAAUACUUGACACGUAGAAAACAGUAGCAACAAAAUGACACGAUCAACAUGCUACGUCUAUUAGUUUGGGUCUAGUCCAUCACAUGAUUCUCCUAAUGAUGUGAUCCCGUUAUCAAGUGACAACACUUGCCUAUGGUCAGGAAACCUUGACCAUCUUUGAUCAACGAGCUAGUCAACUAGAGGCCUACUAGGGACAGUGUUUUGUCUAUGUAUCCACACAUGCACUGUGUUUCCAAUCAAUACAAUUAUAGCAUGGAUAAUAAACGAUUAUCAUGAACAAAGAAAUAUAAUAACAACUAAUUUAGUAUUGCCUCUAGGGAAUAUUUCCAACAGUCUCCCACUUGCACUAGAGUCAAUAAUCUAGUUCACAUCACCAUGUGAUUCCAACGAAUCCAACACCCAUAUAGUUAUGGGGUCUGAUCACGUCUUGCUCGUGAGAGAGGUUUUAGUCAACGGUUUUGAAACUUUCAGAUCUGUGUGUUCUUUACAAAUCUUUAUGUCAUCUUAUAGAUGCUGCUACUAUGUGCUAUUCGGAAAUACUCCAAAUAUCUACUCUACUAUACGAAUCCGUUUCACUACUCAUAGUUAUUCGGAUUAGUGUCAAAGCUUGCAUCGACGUAACCUUUUACGACGAAGUUUUUAACCACCUCCAUAAUCGAGAAAAAUUCCUUAGUCCAUCAGUUACUAAGGAUAAAUUUUGACCGCUGCUAGUGAUUCAAUCAUGGAUCACUCUCUGUACCUCUCAACAGACUUUGAGUCAAGGCACACAUCAGGUGCGGUACCCAGCAUGGCGUACUUCAGAUUCUACGGCCAAGGCAUAGAAGACGACCUUCGUCUAUUCUCUUUAUUCAGCCGGGGUCAGGUUUUGAGUCUAACUCUAAUUCACACCUCACAACGCAACCAAGAACUCCUUCUUUGCUGAUCUAUUUUGAACUCCUUCAAAAACUUGUCAAGGCAUGCAUCUUGUUGAAACUUCUAUUAAGCGCUUUUCAUCUAUCUCCAUAGAUCUUUGAUGCUCAACGUUCAAGUAGCGCAAUCCAGGUAUUCCUUUAAAAACUCCUUUCAAACAACCUUGUAUGCUUUACAGAAAUUCUACAUUACUUCUAAUCCAUAAUAUGUCAACCACAUAUACUUAUCAGAAAUUCUAUAGUGCUCCCACUCACUUGUUUGGAAAUACAAGUUUCUCAUAAACCUUGUACAAACCCAAAAUCUUUGAUCAUCUCAUCAAAGUGUAUAUUCCAACUCCGAGAUGCUUGCACCAGUCCAUUGAAGGAUCGCUGGAGCUUGCAUACUUGCUAGUAUCUUUAGGAUCGACAAAACCUCGUGGUUGUAUCACAUACAAUGUUUGCGCAAGGAAACCGUCGAGGAAACAAUGUUUUGACAUCCUAUGUGCAAUAUUUCAUAAAUAAUGCAGCAACUACUAACAUAAUUCUAACAGACUUUUAGCAUCGCUACGAGUGAGAAAGUCUCAUCAUAGUCAACUGUUUGAUCUUGUCGGAAACAUCUUUGCAACAAGUCGAGCUUUUCUUAAUAGUGACUUAUCACCAUCAUCGUCUGUCUUCCUUUUAAAGAUCCAUCUUUACUCAAUAGUCUUAUGACCAUCAAGUAGUUCUUCCAAAGUCUACACUUUGUUUUCAUACAUGGAUCCUCUCUUGGAUUUCAUGGCUUCCAGCCAUUUUUCGGAAUCCGGGCCCACCAUUGCUUUCUCCAUAACUCGUAGGUUCACUGUUGCUCAACAACAUGACCUCCAAGACAGGGUUACCGUACCACUCUGCAGUAGUACGCGACCUUGUCAACCUACGAGGCUUGUAGUAACUUGAUCCGAUGCUCGAUGAUCACCCUCAUCAGCUUUCACUUCAAUUGGUGUAGGCGCCACAGGAACAACUUCCUGCGCCCUGCUACACACUGGUUGAAGUGAUGGUUCAAUAACCUCAUCAAGUUCUACCACCCUCCCACUCAAUUCUUUCGAGAGAAACCUUUCCUCGAGAAAGGAUCCGUUUCUAGAAACAAACACUUUGCUUUUGGAUCUGAGAUAGGAGAUGUACCCAACUGUUUUGGAUAUCCUAUGAAGAUGCAUUUAUCCGCUUUGGGUUCGAGCUUAUCAGACUGAAACUUUUUCACAUAAGUGUCGAAGCCCCAAACUUUCAAGAAACGACAGUUUAGAUUUGUCUAAACCUUAGUCUAUAGUGUGUCAUCUCAACGGAAAUACACGGUGCCCUAUUUAAAGUGAAUGCGGUUGUCUCUAAUGCAUAACCCAUAAACGAUAGUGGUAAUUCAAUAAGAGACAUCAUAGCAUGCACCAUACCAAAUAGUGCGUGGCUAUGACGUUCAGGCACAUCAUCACACUAUGAUGUUCCACGUGGCAUGAACUGCGAAACAAUUUCCACAUUGUCUUAACUGCGUACCAAAACUCGUAACUUAGAUAUUCAUUUCUAUGAUCAUAUCAUAGACAGUUUAUCCUCUUGUUACGACGAACUUCACUCCGAAACAGAAUUGAACUUUUCAAUAUUUCAGACUUGUGAUUCAUUAAGUAAAUACUCUUGUAUCUACUUAAAUCGUCAUUGAAGUAAGAACAUAAUGAUAUCCACUGCCUGCCUCAGCACCCAUUGGACUGCAUACAUCAAAAUGUAUCACUUCCAACAAGUUACUAUCUUGUUUCAUCUCAAUGAAAACAAGGCCUUGCUCAUGUGGUAUGAUCUGCAUGUCACUAAUGAUUCAAAAUGAAGUGAGUAUAAAGAUCCAUCAGCAUGGAGCCUCUUCAUGCAAUUUAUACCAACAUGACUCAAGCGGCAGUUCCACAAGUAAGUGGUACUAUCAUCAUUACCACGUAUCUUUUGGCACCAAUAUCAUGGACAUGUGUAACACUAUGAUCGAGAUUCAAUAAACCAUUGAAGGUGAUUAUUCAAGCAAAUAGAGUAACCAUUAUUAUCUUUAAAUGAAUAAUCGUAUUGCAAUAAACAUGAUCCAAUCAUGUUCAUGCUUAAUGCAAGCACCAAAUAACAAUUAUUUAGGUUUAACACCAAUCCCGAUGGUAGAGGGAGCGUGCGACGUUUGAUCAUAUCAACCUUGGAAACACUUCCAACACGUAUCGUCACCUCGCCUUUAGCUAGUCCCCGUUUAUGCCGUAGCUUUCAUUUCGUGUAACUAAUCACUUAGCAACCGAACCAAUAUCCAAUAACCUCGUGCUACUAGGAGUACUAGUAAAGUACACAUCAACAUCAUGUAUAUCAAAUAUACUUCUUUCGACUUUUGCCAGCCUUCUUUAUCUACCAUGUAUCUAGGGUUGCUCCGUCUCAGUGACCGUUCCCCUCACAAUAGAAGCACUUUGUCCCGGGCUUGGGUUUAAUCUGGGGUCUCUUCAUUAGUGCAGCAACUGCUUUGCCGUUUCACGAAGUAUCCCUUCUAGCCCUUGCCUUUCUCGAAACUUAGUGGUUUUACUAACCAUCAACUAUUGAUGAUCCUUCUUGAUUUCUACUUUCGCAGUGUCAAACAUCGCGAAUCGCUCAAGGAUCAUUGUAUCUAUCCUUGAUAUGUUAUAGUUCAUCGUGAAGCUCUCACAGCUUGGGUAGUGACUUUGGAGAACCAUCACUAUCUUAUCUGGAAGAUCAACUCCCACUUGAUUCAAGCGAUUGUCGUACUCAGAUAAUCCGAGCACACGCUCAACGAUUGAGCUUUUCUCCUUUACUUCGUGGACAAAGAAUCUUGUCGGAGGUCUCAUACCUCUUAACAAGGGCACAAGCAUGAAAUCACAAUUUCAUCUCUUUAGAACAUCUCUUAUGUUCCGUGAUGUUUCAAAACGUCUUCGGCGCCUUGCUUCUAAGCCAUUAAGUAUUUUGUAAUGAACUAUCGUGUAGUCAUAAGAAACGUGUAUGUCGGAUGUUCACAACAUCUAUAGACGACGCUCGAGGUGCAGCAGACCGAGUGGUGCAUUAAGGACAUAAGCCUUCUGCGCAGCAACGAGGACAAUCCUCGGUUUUACAGACUUAGUCUGCAAAGUUUGCUACUAUCAACUUUCAACUAAAUUUUCUCUAGGAACAUAUAAAAAUAGUAGAGCUAUAGCGCAAGCUACAUCAUAAUUCGCAAAGACCAUUAGACUAUGUUCAUGACAAUUAGUUCAAUUAAUCAUAUUACUUAAGAACUCCCACUCAAAAAGUACAUCUCUCUAGUCAUUUGAGUGGUACAUGAUCCAAAUCCACUAUCUCAAGUCCGAUCAUCACGUGAGUCGAGAAUAGUUUCAGUGGUAAGCAUCUCUAUGCUAAUCAUAUCAACUAUACGAUUCAUGCUCGGCCUUUCGGUCUCAUGUGUUCCGAGGCCAUGUCUGCACAUGCUAGGCUCGUCAAGCUUAACUCGAGUGUUCCGCGUGUGCAACUGUUUUGCACCCGUUGUAUGUGAACGUUGAGUCUAUCACACCCGAUCAUCACGUGGUGUCUCGAAACGAAGAACUGUCGCAACGGUGCACAAUCGGGGAGAACACAAUUUCGUCUUGAAAUUUUAGUGAGAGAUCACCUCAUAAUGCUACCGUCGUUCUAAGCAAGAUAAGGUGCAUAAAGGAUUAACAUCACAUGCAACUCAUAAGUGACAUGAUAUGGCCAUCAUCAUGCGCUUCUUGAUCUCCAUCACCAAAGCACCGGCAUGAUCUUCUUGUCACCGGCGUCACACCAUGAUCUCCAUCAUCAUGAUCUCCAUCAAUGUGUCGCCAUCGGGGUUGUCGUGCUACUCAUGCUAUUACUACUAAAGCUACGUCCUAGCAAUAUAGUAAACGCGCCUGCAAGCACAAACGUUAGUUUAAAGACAACCCUAUGGCUCCUGCCGGUUGCCGUACCAUCGACGUGCAAGUCGAUAUUAACUAUUACAACAUGAUCAUCUCAUACAUCCAAUAUAUCACAUCACAUCGGUGGCCAUAUCACAUCACAAGCAUACCCUACAAAAACAAGUUAGACGUCCUCUAAUUGUUGUUGCAUCUUUUACGUGGUGACCAUGGGUAUCUAGUAGGAUCACAUCUUACUUAUGCAAACACCACAACGGAGAUAUAUGAAUUGCUAUUUAUCCUCAUCCAAGGACCUCCUCGGUCAAAUCCGAUUCAACUAAAGUUGGAGAAACCGACACUCGCCGGUCAUCUUUGAGCAACGGAGUUACUCGUAGCGAUGAAACCAGUCUCUCGUAAGCGUACGAGUAAUGUCGGUCCGAGCCGCUCCAAUCCAACAAUACCGCGGAAUCAAGAAAGGACUAAGGAGGGCAGCAAAACGCACAUCACCGCCCACAAAAAAUUUUGUGUUCUACUCGAGAAGACAUCUACGCAUGAACCUAGCUCAUGAUGCCACUGUUGGGGAACGUCGCAUGGGAAACAAAAAAUUUCCUACGCGCACGAAGACAUGUCAUGGUGAUGUCCAUCUACAAGAAGGGAUUUCCGAUCUACGUACCCUUGUAGUUCGCACAGCAGAAGCGUUAGUGAAUGCGGUUGAUGUAGUGGAACUUCCUCAUGUCCCUCGAUCCGCCCCGCGAACCGUCCCACGAACCGUCCCGCGAUCCGUCCCACGAUCCGCUCCGAUCUAGUGCCGAACGGACGGCACCUCCGCGUUCAGCACACGUACAGCUCGACGAUGAUCUCGGCCUUCUUGAUCCAGCAAGAGAUACGGAGAGGUAGAUGAGUUCUCCGGCAGCGUGACGGCGCUCCGGAGGUUGGUGGUGAUCUAAUCUCAGCAGGGCUCCGCCUGAGCUCCGCAGAAACGCGAUCUAGAGGAAAAACCAUGGAGGUAUGUGGUCGGGCUGCCGUGGCAAAAGUUGCCUCAAAUCAGCCCUAAUACCUCAGUAUAUAUAGGAGGCAGGGGGAGGGAAGAGGCAGCCUCAAACCCUCAAGGUUUGGCCGAAAUUGGAGGUGCAGGAGUCCUACUCCAAUCCUACUUGGAGUAGGAUUCCACCUUCCCACUUGGAAACUCUUUCCACCUUGUGUUUUUUCCUUCUCAAACCUUAUGGGCCUUAGUGGGAACUUAUUCCAGCCCACUAGGGGCUGGUUUAUCUCUUCCCAUAGCCCAUGAAACCCCUUGGGGCGUGACACCCCUCCCGAUGGUCCCCGGCACCCCUCCCGGCACUCCCGGUACACUACCAAUGAGCCCGACACUUUUCUGGUGACCAAAACAGGACUUCCUAUAUAUCAAUCUUUACCUCCGGNAUUCAUGCUCGGCCUUUCGGUCUCAUGUGUUCCGAGGCCAUGUCUGCACAUGCUAGGCUCGUCAAGCUUAACUCGAGUGUUCCGCGUGUGCAACUGUUUUGCACCCGUUGUAUGUGAACGUUGAGUCUAUCACACCCGAUCAUCACGUGGUGUCUCGAAACGAUGAACUGUUGCAACGGUGCACACUCGGGGAGAACACAAUUUCGUCUUGAAAUUUUAGUGAGAGAUCACCUCAUAAUGCUACCGUCGUUCUAAGCAAGAUAAGGUGCAUAAAGGAUUAACAUCACAUGCAACUCAUAAGUGACAUGAUAUGGCCAUCAUCAUGCGCUUCUUGAUCUCCAUCACCAAAGCACCGGCAUGAUCUUCUUGUCACCGGCGUCACACCAUGAUCUCCAUCAUCAUGAUCUCCAUCAAUGUGUCGCCAUCGGGGUUGUCGUGCUACUCAUGCUAUUACUACUAAAGCUACGUCCUAGCAAUAUAGUAAACGCGCCUGCAAGCACAAACGUUAGUUUAAAGACAACCCUAUGGCUCCUGCCGGUUGCCGUACCAUCGACGUGCAAGUCGAUAUUAACUAUUACAACAUGAUCAUCUCAUACAUCCAAUAUAUCACAUCACAUCGGUGGCCAUAUCACAUCACAAGCAUACCCUACAAAAACAAGUUAGACGUCCUCUAAUUGUUGUUGCAUCUUUUACGUGGUGACCAUGGGUAUCUAGUAGGAUCACAUCUUACUUAUGCAAACACCACAACGGAGAUAUAUGAAUUGCUAUUUAUCCUCAUCCAAGGACCUCCUCGGUCAAAUCCGAUUCAACUAAAGUUGGAGAAACCGACACUCGCCGGUCAUCUUUGAGCAACGGAGUUACUCGUAGCGAUGAAACCAGUCUCUCGUAAGCGUACGAGUAAUGUCGGUCCGAGCCGCUCCAAUCCAACAAUACCGCGGAAUCAAGAAAGGACUAAGGAGGGCAGCAAAACGCACAUCACCGCCCACAAAAAAUUUUGUGUUCUACUCGAGAAGACAUCUACGCAUGAACCUAGCUCAUGAUGCCACUGUUGGGGAACGUCGCAUGGGAAACAAAAAAUUUCCUACGCGCACGAAGACAUGUCAUGGUGAUGUCCAUCUACAAGAAGGGAUUUCCGAUCUACGUACCCUUGUAGUUCGCACAGCAGAAGCGUUAGUGAAUGCGGUUGAUGUAGUGGAACUUCCUCAUGUCCCUCGAUCCGCCCCGCGAACCGUCCCACGAACCGUCCCGCGAUCCGUCCCACGAUCCGCUCCGAUCUAGUGCCGAACGGACGGCACCUCCGCGUUCAGCACACGUACAGCUCGACGAUGAUCUCGGCCUUCUUGAUCCAGCAAGAGAUACGGAGAGGUAGAUGAGUUCUCCGGCAGCGUGACGGCGCUCCGGAGGUUGGUGGUGAUCUAAUCUCAGCAGGGCUCCGCCUGAGCUCCGCAGAAACGCGAUCUAGAGGAAAAACCAUGGAGGUAUGUGGUCGGGCUGCCGUGGCAAAAGUUGCCUCAAAUCAGCCCUAAUACCUCAGUAUAUAUAGGAGGCAGGGGGAGGGAAGAGGCAGCCUCAAACCCUCAAGGUUUGGCCGAAAUUGGAGGUGCAGGAGUCCUACUCCAAUCCUACUUGGAGUAGGAUUCCACCUUCCCACUUGGAAACUCUUUCCACCUUGUGUUUUUUCCUUCUCAAACCUUAUGGGCCUUAGUGGGAACUUAUUCCAGCCCACUAGGGGCUGGUUUAUCUCUUCCCAUAGCCCAUGAAACCCCUUGGGGCGUGACACCCCUCCCGAUGGUCCCCGGCACCCCUCCCGGCACUCCCGGUACACUACCAAUGAGCCCGACACUUUUCUGGUGACCAAAACAGGACUUCCUAUAUAUCAAUCUUUACCUCCGGACCAUUCCGGAGCUCCUCGUGACGUCCUGGAUCUCAUCCGGGACUCCGAACAACAUUCGGUAACCAACCAUAUAACUCAAAUACGCAUAAAACAACGUUGAACCUUAAGUGUGCAGACCCUGCGGGUUCGAGAACUAUGUAGACAUGACCCGAGUGACUCCUCGGUCAAUUUCCAAUAGCAGGACCUGGAUGCCCAUAUUGGAUCCUACAUAUUCUCCAAAGAUCUUAUCGGUUGAACCUCAGUAUCAAGGAUUCAUAUAAUCCCGGAUGUCAUUCCCUUUGUCCUUCGGUAUGUUACUUGCCCGAGAUUCGAUCGUCGGUAUCCGCAUACCUAUUUCAAUCUCGUUUACUAGCAAGUCUCUUUACUCGUUCCGUAAUACGAGAUCCCGCAACUUACACUAAGUCACAUUGCUUGCAAGGCUUGUAUGUGAUGUUGUAUUACCGAGUGGGCCCCGAGAUACCUCUCCGUCACACGGAGUGACAAAUCUCAUUCUCGAUCCUACUAACUCAACGAACACCUUCGGAGAUACCUGUAGAGCAUCUUUAUAGUCACCCAGUUACGUUGCGACGUUUGAUACACAUAAAGCAUUCCUCCGGUGUCAGUGAGUUAUAUGAUCUCAUGGUCAUAGGAACAAAUACUUGACACGUAGAAAACAGUAGCAACAAAAUGACAUGAUCAACAUGCUACGUCUAUUAGUUUGGGUCUAGUCCAUCACAUGAUUCUGCUAAUGAUGUGAUCCCGUUAUCAAGUGACAACACUUGCCUAUGGUCAGGAAACCUUGACCAUCUUUGAUCAACGAGCUAGUCAACUAGAGGCCUACUAGGGACAGUGUUUUGUCUAUGUAUCCACACAUGCACUGUGUUUCCAAUCAAUACAAUUAUAGCAUGGAUAAUAAACGAUUAUCAUGAACAAAGAAAUAUAAUAACAACUAAUUUAUUAUUGCCUCUAGGGCAUAUUUCCAAUAGAAAGGGCUUAUAUGAAAGAAAUAACAGUUGCCACAGUCGGGCAUCUAAGUAACACCACAGAAAGGGCUUAUAUUAAUAAUAAACAUGUUGUAGUGGGGCGUCUAAGCGACACCACAUAAAGGGCUUAUAUGAGACAGUAAUAAAUAUUGAAUAUCCAGGAGGUAGAACCGUCCCAUGGAUAUCCAACAGUCAUAAUCAUAGGGGUUAGUCCAUAGUAAAAAUAAUAGUAUGAUCAUCCACCACAUUUCAUGAUUAGUCUCACGAUUUCGUUAACUUCCUACGAAGACCGACACUCAGGCCUACACUUGACUAGCUAACCAGUCGUCCUUGACCGUGGACACGGCUACUCGAAUAGUUUUGACUCUACAGAGAGUGUACUCUUUACCCACAGCCCACGGGUUUCAAUAGUCACUCGGACAAAUCCCACGUACGGUAUUUCAGAAGUAUACUCUCAGAACCGGUACACAUCCAUGUUUCCCCCAUGAAGACCGGCCUCACCUGGGCUACGCUGCUAGGGAAAAACCAUAAGAUGGGGAGGCUCCAACCUCGACUAGCAUGGGAUCAAAUUUAUACUGCAUGCUACAAGGUAAGGGCCAUUCCCUCUCGGUCCCAGACCAGAAACACCCAUGCCCCUUGACCGGAUGACUGGAUUUAGUCGAGGUCCAUGGAUACCUUCAUCCCGGCCUCUCUACUUGGUGUGUACUUGGUAAUAGGUUUACGACCUACUAGACCAUAUUACCUCUCGGGAAGACGUGUGGCAGCACGAAAGGUAAGGUGACAGACAAACAAUACUCGAUCUACGGUCGACUUAGGAGGUUUAAGAUUUCCUGCAAGGGUUAGUACCACACAAUCUUGCUGAAAGAAUUACCUCAGUGUUACUACCAUCACAUCCCGACAUGCCUUCACCGACCACUCUUGUCCCACGAGAUGUUAGUCCAUGGUCACACAAUACCCAUGACAAACCUCCCUCUGAGAUUGUUCAGACCAGCAUGGCAUACGAGUCAUGAGGUAGUACUCACUUACCAUAUGCAUCAUAUAAUAAUAUAUAUAUAUAUNNNNNNNNNNNNNNNNNNNNNNNNNNNNNNNNNNNNNNNNNNNNNNNNNNNNNNNNNNNNNNNNNNNNNNNNNNNNNNNNNNNNNNNNNNNNNNNNNNNNNNNNNNNNNNNNNNNNNNNNNNNNNNNNNNNNNNNNNNNNNNNNNNNNNNNNNNNNNNNNNGUAUAUAUAUCUCACGCACUCGUGCAAUGAUGUGAUUUCAUGUGCGGUUGUCAUCAACAUAACCAAAACACGCAUAUAAUGUACCACAACAAACAUCACACACUUAAUGCAAAUCAGCUUCAAGAUGCUUGCCUUUGGAGUUUGAGGAGGGUGAUGUGUACCCCAAAAUCUUGAAGUAAGUCUGCUCUCUCGAAAAUCCUAUUUUGAGAAUAUUUGAAUUACCAUGAAAAUUCAGAACAGCACAUAAAUGUUGUUUGAAUAUUUUUCAAAUAAAUCUUAAAAUAAACUAGAUGAAAUUUGAGAGAGCUAGGAAAAUGAAUCAGUCCAUUAGGAGUUGUAGUUAAAAAGUGAUGAGCGGUCAAACUUUUGGUCAAACUCUAUUUUUUAAGAAAAGUAAAAUAAAACGUUUCGCAAAAAGGGCGCUAACAAAAUAAGGGAGACGUACUUACGCAAAUGCGCUUCCUCAGCAGAAAGACGCAGGGGUGGGGCUACGCCACUCGGGCAACGGUUGGCUAACCGACAGGUGGGGCCACCCUUUCGGAUUCGUCUCCCUCCUCAGCGCGCGCGACGACAGAGAGGUGGGGUGGAUUCUGGGCGUCGAUUGUUGGCAACUCAUGGCACUCCACGAUGCGCUUCGGCUAUGCACAUCCUCGGGGGGAGGUGAUGCAUCCAUUUUUGGAGGCUAGGGUCACGGUGGAGCUCGAGGGCAAGUACCCCUUCCUCCAUGGCGGAGGAAAGCUUGGCAGAACUGAAGUUGCGCGCACCGCGGCUUCCGACACCGUUGGGAGGGGGAAGGGUUCUAGGGUCAUUGCGGAGCUAGUGGCGAAGGAAAGCUGCACUGAUCGUUGCUGGCUUGCUCGAAUCUCAACGGAGGACAACGGGUGGUGGAAGCUGUCGGCGGCAGGGAAGGAGGCGGCCCCGGUUGAAAUUUUGGCGACGGGAGGCUUCCUAUGGUUGGGUAGGGAAAGUUUUGGGUGCUAAAAGAGCUCGGGGUUCCCUCUUAUAGCAGAUUUAGGUUGGUUUUGCGGCAGCGAUGGAUAGCGACGCCGGCAACAGGUUCUGGUGAUGGCUCAGGCACACAUGGGCGACAGCAGGGUGCAGCAGCAGGCUCAACAGCGGGAGGGUGAUGCAGGGGAGGGACCAAUGGGGCAGCUGGCGCUCGGGGAGCGUUUGGGCGAUGCUCGUUNNNNNNNNNNNGCUUUGCUGGGGCAGUAGUGUUUCGGGCGCGGCAGGGGUGCAGCAGAGCGCAACACACAGGGGGAAACCUGUCGGGGUGGACGCGGCUCUGCGGCUGUCCAGGAGCACGAGCAGGUGGACGCGGCAGCUCGGGCGCGCACAUGCAAAAUCUGCGCUCCGGGCGUGCUCUGGGUACGCACCCAGGAUGCUCAACAGAAAUCCUGGCAUGGCUACAGGGUUCAGGUGCUCACCAAAAUUACCAUAGUGGGUUUGAUGGUCAAGACAAACAUCCUAGACAUCCUGGUUGGGCCAGUUGAACAACUCUAUAACGCACACAAAAAUCCAUGCCAAAAGAGUACAUGAACUCAAGGUGUUCGACCAAAUGUCAGGGGCACCUAGGAAGCUCCUCUCGGCACCAAAAUUACGAGAUCAUGGUCUCCUUAGGUGUUAGUUAUGAUGGUCAAGUUAGUUUGGCAAAAUGCAAAACUUGCUAAUGCAAUUGUUUGAGAAAAUCAUUUCGGGUCACAAAGUUGAAGCUAAUAUUACAUGCAUUUAAAAUCCUACAAUGGGGCUCAACUAAUGGACUUAAGGUUUUGGUAGGGUGUUAUACAAGCAUGAAAAAUCUCAAGGCAAAUAGAGCAAGGAAAAACAUGGUUGUAGUACAAAGUACCAAACUGGACCAGAACAAAAAAGUGGUUGCUUUGCUAAAAAAAUCAAAGCACAUAGUUGCAUUUUUGCAUAAAAAUGAAUAUCAUGCAUCACUUGACAUCCCCAAAUUUGUAUAGGAUUUUUGAAAGGUUAUAUCUAGGGGUUGUAGUACAAACACCAAUUUGGGCCAAAAUAGAAAAGGAGUUAAUGUGCUCAAAUUUUUCAAAACACAUGGUUAGGUUUUUACAGAAGUUUGAUCUAGGAACAUCACAUGUCACCUACAAUGUUUUGUAGAAUUUUCAGAAAAAGUUAUCCAAAGGUUGUAGUGCAAAAUAGGUCCUUAACGGAAUUAAAAGUCAAUUUUGAAUAAGAGAAACUUUGUCAAAGUUAUUUAUGAAAAGGGAUCUCCAAUGAAUUUGUGAGAAGAAAAGAAAUAUUUUGAUGCAAGCACUCAAGUUCCAACAUGAUUUUCAAAAACAUUUACUUGGGGAAGAACUUUAUAAUUAGGGAAAAGGAGUGGUUCAAAAAUCAAUUGAAAACCCGGAAAUUCAGAUUUUUAACAAACAUGGUCAAAUUAAAAAGAAUAUCCCCAUUUUAUUAAAUAAAGAAUUUAAAAUGGUCUCAAGUAAGGUCUCAAGCACUAAAUGAUAUUUUAAAAUGCCACUUGAAAAGGAAAGUUUUUUUUUGAAAAGAGGCUUUGAAAAGAGUCACGAAGCAAAUUAUUUCUCAAAACAUUUAUUCUAAGCAAUAUUUUAAUUUACAAAAAUAUGAUUAAAUUUUUGGGGUGUGACAGUCAUCCCUCAACAUGCAACAAAAAAUCUCACCGAAGUUCCUAUUAGUGGAGAACAUAAUAAGAAGUUGUUGUAUGCAGCAAACCACCUCAAAGUCAUUCUUUUCGAUCAAUCUUUUGGGAUAUUCCUAUAAGGGUCACAAACAGCCCUAGAGUUCGUACUAGAAUAACACCUAUGGUACAUCUCAAUCAACCAUAAUGUCACCUAGAUACUCCAAUGCCACCUCAAGUAUCCAUGGAUUAAUUAUUCGACAUGCAUCAAACAGUUUCAGAUUCUUCAUAUUCAAUCCAACACAAAGAACUUCAAAGAGUGCCCCAAGAUUUCUAUCAAAGAAGGUAGGAUGAAAACGUGCAACCCACCCUUAUGCAUAGAUCCCCACGGUCACGGAAUCCGCAAGUUAAUGCCAUAACAUAUAUCAACUGAACCAAUAGAAUAUCCCAUUGUCAUUACGAGUUUCCGCAUGCCAAACAUAUAUCAAGUGCUCGCAAACCCAAAGUAUUUAAUCCAACAUAAGAAAAUCUCAAAGGGAAAAUUCAGUCCAUGAAAUUCCGGACUUCAACUUUCCCAUAAGGGAAACACCCGGCGAAGAUGUCUUCCCGCACAUCGGCAUGGGAAAUCUAAAGGACCUUGCUCCCAUAAUGGGAAAUUUGGUAGAGCAAGUGCUACCGCGAGAUGCGCUCCAUGAUGAAACGGACAUAAACUAUAUUUAUACGGGGGAGUACCUGAACCGAGCAAUGGUGAUUGUCGACAUAAACUUUGCUACGAAAAUUGCCUACAUCAUAGAUCUUGACCCUCAUUCUAACACGCUCGUCGGUUGCAAGAAAAGGUCAGAUUGGAAAGAUUGACAGGAGGCAAUUACUGCUGAUUAUUAUCUCUCAACAAAAGAAAGGUGUUCGUACAAGUUUUUCAAACUCCUCCCCACAUAUACCCUAUUGGUCGUAGGUGGGUUUUUGUUCGAAAGAGAGAUGAAAAUAAUAAGGUAGUAUAGUACAAAGCAAGGUUCGUCGCUCAAGGGUCCACUCAACGAUCCAGUGUCGGCUGUGAGGAUACUUAUUUCCCGGUCAUGGAUGGAGUUACCUUUAGAUGCUUGAUCUCACUAGCAGUAAACAUGGGCUUGAAAAUUAAAUUAAUGGAUGUUACCUGUAAGGAAGAGGGGGAGGAAACUCUGGGACUAGAGGUUCCUUACCUGAGUGCAGUUGGAGCACUCAUGUACCUUGCAAAUUGUACAUGGUCAGACAUUGCUUGCAUCGUGAGUUUGCUUGCUAGUACAACUCUAAACCUACCAAGAGACAUUGGAAAGGUGUCAAGGACGUCUUCCGUUACGUGCAAGGGACCAAAGAUCUUGGCCUAUUUUAUAAAAGGAAUUAAGACCUAUCUCUUAUAGGCUAUGCCGAUGUUGGGUAUCUGUCGGACCCGCAUGAGUGCAAAUCACAGACUGAAUAUGUUUUCCUUUGUGGUGGAACUGCAUUUUUCUGGAAAUUGACCAAGCAAACUCUUGUGUCGACUUCCACGGACCACUUGGAAAUCAUGGCACUAUUCGAAGUAUCAAAGGAAUGUCUAUCGCUUCGACGGGUGAUUUACCACAUUCAGCAUGCGUGUGGGUUGAACACUGUACAAACCCCUACCAUUGUCUAUGAAGAUAAUGUUGCUUGUGUUGCGCAAGUUCAGAUAGGUUAUGUGAAGAGUAACCUCACAAAGCAUAUUAGUCUCAAGUUCUUCUAUGCACAUGAACUGCGGCAGUUGAACAAGGUGAGAAUUUUACAUACUAAGUCAUGUGACAAUCUUGCUGAUAUGUUCACUAAAUCAUUACCGGCAUCAUCCCUCAAGAGGUGUGUGCGUGGAAUCGGUAUGACGAGACUUAGAGAGAUCUAAGAUUCAGGGGGAGAAACUUCACAAUCUCGUCGUUAAAAUCUUGAUUUCGAUGAUUGAGUACUCAACUUGAUGGUUGAGUGAAUUGUAUUCUUUUUUCCUCGAUGUUUCUCAUAUGAUGUUUUUGAUGAGGCAAUUCGUGCAAUACAACAACGUAUACUAUGUUCUCUUUUUUCAUAUUUUUUCCACUGUGUUUUUUUAAAUUUCGAGAUACGGAUAUACGGAUAGUUACCCAAAGAAGAGUGUUGAGAAACGAGGUUCACCCUCGUGGGUGGCGGCAGACGCGUGCGAUCUGCGCAACGUAGCCUCUUCUAGUUCCACACCUUGCGUUAAAAAAAAUUUAGCAGAGUACAAUCGAAGUCGCUCACAUACACGAGCAUACACUCACCCCUAUGAACGCACACACGCACACCCUACCCCUACGAGCACCUUCGAGAGACUAAGCCGGCACAUCAUCUUGAGAUUGACGAAGUCGCCACUGACGCCUUCGUUGUCGACGGGAACGUCUCCUCUCAUUGAAAGCACUUCGCCGGAAUACCUGGAAUAAAUCCAGGAAAAUGCAAGCACCAACGUCAAGUUUGGGACUUGAACUCUGGUGGGUAGGGGAUACCACAGUCCUCCUAACCAUCCAACCACGGGUUGGUUUGCACCUUGCGUUAAUUUGAUAUCUCUCCCUAAUAAUAAAUUUAAUUCGGUUUCUGGUCGUCUGAUGGGGUUAUACCCCCCUGGAGGGAAAGGGUCGUACGUUUCCAGGUGCAUUUAUUAGCAUUUAGGGCAUACGUUACUUGUAACGUACACAUUCAAUCGCCACUACUCCACCCCUAUACCGGAACCGUUGUGGAGGGCAGCGCACUCUAUAUAAGCCACCCUCCCCCACUGGUAAAGGGGUUAGCAAUUCAUUGUAUUCCCUAUUCCACUCAACAACAAAGCUCCCUGAGCACUGAGACGUAGGGCUAUUAUCUCCACCGCAGAGGGGCCCGAACUCAUACAUCCUCGCCGUAGCUGGGACUCUGCCCAUCCUUUUCGUACCCUACACAUCUACCGUCAGGCUUAUACUCACGACAGUUGGUAACCACCGUGGGGCAGGAGUCUAAGCGACUUCCGGCGAGUUUGUGACUACUUCCUUUCAUCAUGUCGUCCGGUGGAGGUUCGAGCAUAGGUCACCAGAUCUUCUUCGGCGCUCUCUCCUUCAUCGUCGACGAUUCGGCGUGGCUUCGGGAUGCUCCUCUCAACGUCGAGGCGCUUCCCCAUUGCGGGGCUACACACUUCCGUGCCGGCGCUUGCGGCAUUCUUCUUCUCCAACAGUCGACUCCGGUGUCGACCUGCACCGCCGUCACGCGCCGCAGCAAGUGGUCCCGCCGUCCGCGGCUCCAGCGUUGGGUGCAGCAUGCCCAGGCGCGCCAGAACGCGUCUUCGCAAGUGGCGGUUCUUGAGUCCGUUGUGGUUGCCCCGCUGUCCCAGCACUCGGACUCGGUUCCGACUGAGUUUCCUUCCGAGUAUGCGGGUCGCGGGCCCGCAGCAGAAGUACACAUGGCCAACUCCCAUGAAGAUCCCCGUCAAGCUGGCCGAAGCGAGCGCGAGGUCGGUGAAGCAUCCGGUGCGCGCCGUCCACCUCGCCGUUCUGCCAGUCGGCACACUCGGCGGAGCAACUUGGAGUUGUUUCGCACACCCCUCCUCAACUUGGCCGCGGCUGCCAAGAUAGCCGAUUCCCUCUAGCCGACUGAUUCAGAGGCAGGAAGGGGGAUCGAGCAGAUCCGAGCCGUGUUGCACACGGCACAGCAGCAGAAUUCGGCGGUCUCCCAGUCACACAACCGGAUCUAUAAUAGUUCCGUUCAUGCGAAUAUGCAUCGGUCGGUUCACAGCCCUGGUUCCCAUCAGCGCCACAGGGGAGGCAGCCAUUCCGUGAUUCAUGAAGAUCGCCGCCGCUCACGCACCCCUCCACGGGGUGGGCCCUAUGGGUCCCGACAUCAUGAUGAUCGGCGUUCAGUCGGCGACACUUACGACCCAAGACCCGACGCAAGAGGGCGUAUCGCCCAGCGAAGAGUCAACAGGGGUCGAGCCCACCGUGAUGGUCAUGAUAUGGACCGUCCGAGUGGAAGCAGGACCAUCGUGUCCGGUCCCGAGUGUUUUAGUCGAGCCAUCCGCUCGGCUGACAUCCCGCCCAACUUCCGAUUGGCAGCGGGAAUCAGUAAGUUUACAGGAGAGUCCAAGCCAGAAACAUGGCUAGACGACUACCGAGUGGCAGUCUAGAUCGGAGGAGGGGACGACCACGUCACCAUGAAGCACCUCCCUCUGAUGCUCGACGGCUUGGCGCGAGCGUGGCUGAAUCAAUUAGCCCCCUCGAGCAUCUACAGUUGGGCGGAUCUGGCCCGAGUGUUCAUUCGGACCUUCGAAGGGACGUGCAAACGCCCUGCGGGCCUCGUGGACCUCCAGCACUGCGUCCAGAAGACGAAUGAGCCCCUGCGCGACAUCAUCCAGCGUUGGACGACUCUCUACCACAUGGUGGCGAACGUCACCGAGCAUCAAGCAGUCUGCGCAUUCAAGGCAGGCGUGCGGUACAGGGAGUUGUACCUGAAGUUUGGCCGAACAGGCGACAUCUCCAUGAGCAAGAUGAUGGAGAUAGCAGCUCGCUACGCAAAUGGCGAAGAAGAGGACCGCAUCCGAAGCGGCAAGCACAAGACAGUCGGCGACGGAGAAGGAAGCAACACUCGGAAGCAAAAGCAAAAAGCUCCAUCCACUCCGCAGGCAGAAGCUGCAGUCGUGACCAAUGCCAAAUUCAAAGGCAAAGGGAAGGCGCAGUAUACCCCCAAGAAGAAGCCGUUCAAUAAUCCCAUCCUGGACCAACCAUGCCCGGUUCAUACGAAGAUGGACGAAGAAGGCAACCCCAUAUAUCCCAAGCAUACCACUCGGCAGUGCCGACUCCUGAUCCAGGGAUUCGGCGAAGGGAAACCGAGUGAGAAGGUCAGUGAACAAGAUGAGGAGGAUAAAGAGGAUCCGUUCCCCCAAGUCCAUGCGACACUCAUGAUUUUUGCUGACGUCGAAAGCAAGAGUCGACUGAAGCUGGUGAACAGGGAGGUCAACAUGGCCGUUCCGACCAGCCCCAAGUUCCUUAAAUGGUCUCAGACUGCGAUCACCUUUGACCAGUCGGAUCAUCCAGCGCAUGUUCCCACCCCAGGAAGACAGGCUCUGGUCGUCGACCCGGUGGUGGAAGGAGUCCGACUGCGCAAAGUCCUCAUGGACGGCGGCAGCGGUUUGAACAUCAUGUACGCCAACACUCUCAAGGGAAUGGGCAUUCCGUUGUCCAAACUCAGCGAGAGCAGUAUGCAGUUCCACGGAGUCGUCCCUGGACGGAAGGCUAAGUCACUCGGCCAGAUCGCGUUGGACGUCGUUCUCGGCUCCGACAAGAACUUUUGCAAGGAAAAGCUCACAUUUGAGGUGGUGGAUUUCCAGAGCGCUUACCACGCAAUCCUGGGCCGCCCAGCGUAUGUGAGCUUCAUGGCCCGUCCAUGCUAUGUAUACUUGAAGCUGAAGAUGCCAGGUCCAAAGGGCGUGAUCACCAUCACGCGCAAUCGGCAGCGAGCCGAAGAGUGCUUGCAGCAAGGAUCAAGAAUCGCCGACCAGCAGAUGGCCGUCCUCGAGCUCGACGAGUACAAGAAAACAGUCGACCCCACCGACCUGAUGCGCUCAAAGAAGCCAGCUUCAGAAUCCGCAUUCCAGUCGGCGGGAGAGACGAAGAAGGUCAGCAUCCACCCGACGAACCACACUCCUGCCCCGACGAACAUCUCCACCACCCUCGAUCCUAAAUAGGAAGCCGAGCUCACCCAAUUCCUCCGUGAGAACUGGGACAUCUUCGCAUGGAAACCUUCUGACAUGCCAGGUGUACCCAGGGAGUUGGCUGAGCACCGACUACAUGUAGACCCCGUCGCUCGGCCUGUCCGAGAGCGCUUGCGCCGGUCCGCCGCGCACAAGAGGAAAGCAAUCGGGGAAGAGGUGGCCAAGCUGCUGGCAGCCAACUUCAUUCGCGAGGUUCACCACUCCGAGUGGCUCGCCAAUGUUGUCAUGGUGCCCAAGAAGGACAAGUCACUCCGGAUGUGCAUCGACUUCAAGCACCUCAAUAAGGUCUGCCCGAAGGACCAUUUCCCACUCCCCCGCAUAGAUCAAAUUGUCGAUUCGACUGCGGGGUGCGAGCGUUUGUCAUUUCUUGAUGCCUACUCGGGCUAUCAUCAGAUCCGUCUGUAUGGUCCCGAUGAAUUAAAGACAACCUUUAUCACCCCAUUCGGGUGCUUCUGCUACAUCACUAUGCCAUUUGGUUUGAAGAAUGCAGGAGCUACCUUUAUGCGCAUGAUCCAAAAAUGCCUUCUCGACCAGAUCGGUCAGAAUGUGGAGGCAUAUAUGGAUGAUAUCGUAGUCAAGUCACGCAAAGGUUCCGACCUGCUGACUGACUUGGCAGAAACAUUCGCCAACCUUCGUAGGUACGAUAUCAAGCUCAACCCCGCCAAAUGUUCAUUCAGUGUUCCCAGCGGGAAGUUACUCAGUUUCUUCGUUUCCGAACGAGGGAUCGAUGUCAACCCCAAAAAGAUCAGGACCAUCGUUCAAAUGGAGAGGCUGGUCAGAAUACAUGAUGUUCAACGGCUCACAGGUUGCCUAGCGGCUUUGAGCAGGUUCAUCAGUCGACUCGGCGAGAAAGUAGUUCCUCUGUACCGACUCAUGAAGAAAGCAGAUACUUUCGAGUGGACAGACGGAGCCCAAGUCGCAUUCGACAAGCUCAAAGUCCUACUUUCCACCCAGCCGGUUCUUACUGCUCCGCUCAGUAAAGAGCCCCUUCUUCUGUACAUCGCGGCUACAAAUCAAGUCAUCAGUACUGUUCUUACAGUCGAACGAGAAGAAGAAGGCAAAGCAUACAAAGUUCAGCGGCUAGUGUACUACGUCUCCGAGGUCCUGACUCCUUCCAAGCAGAGGUAUCCCCACUAUCAAAAACUUAUCUACGGGAUUUACAUGACUGCGAAGAAGGUGGCUCAUUAUUUCCAAGACCACUCGGUAUCUGUCGUUUCCGAUGCUCCGUUGUCGGAAAUUCUCCACAAUCGAGAUGCGUCAGGCCGAGUGGCGAAGUGGGCGAUAGAGAUGUUGUACUGCGAUAUCAAGUUCGAGGCCAAGAAAGCUAUUAAGUCUCAAGCCCUGGCUGACUUCAUAGCAGAAUGGGUAGAACAACAGCAACCGACCCACAUCUACUCGGCCCAUUGGACAAUGUUCUUUGAUGGGUCCAAGAUGUUGAAUGGCUACGGCGCUGGCGUUGUGAUCAUAUCGCCAAAGGGCGACAAACUCAAGUAUGUGCUGCAGAUACACUUCGAUUCCUCCAACAACGAGGCAGAGUAUGAAGCUCUCCUUUACGGGUUGCGUAUGCCCAUCUCACUCGGCGUCCGUCACCUGAUGGUCUACGGCGAUUCGGAUUUGGUGGUCAAUCAAGUGAUGAAAGAGUGGGACGUCAGGAACCCCACCAUGAACACAUACUGCAAUGCAGUAAGAAAGCUCGAGAAGAAGUUUGAAGGUCUAGAACUUCACCAUGUGCCGAGACUAAAGAAUCAAGCAGCUGAUGAGUUGGCAAAACUCGGAUCCACUCGGAGACCAGUCCCGAGUGACGUCUGCCUCGAGCACCUUCACCUCCCUUCAGUCAAAGAAGAUCCUUUUACAGAAGAGCCAGUACAACCAAAGAGUUCAACAGAUCCGACUGAAGUCGAUGUACCUGCUGUGGUUGAUCUGGUUAUGGGGAUUCUUGCUGCCAUCCCCGAGUGGACUGUGCCGAUCAUUGCAUAUAUCCUGAGACAGGAACUACCAGAAGACGAAGCCCAGGCCAGGCAGAUAGUCCGCAGGUCGAAGGCAUUCACUGUCAUUGAUGGCCAAUUGUACAAGGAGAGUGUUUCGAGCGUUCUCCAACGUUGCAUCUCCCCAGAGGAGGGGCAGUUGAUCCUGUAAGAAAUUCACUCGGGAACCUGCGGUCAUCACGCCUCUUCAAGAGCAAUCGUCGCCAAGGCAUUCAGGGCUGGUUUUUUCUGGCUGCAGGCGAAUGAGAUGGCUAAAGAUAUGGUCGACCGAUGCGAGGGCUGUCAGUUCUACUCCAACAAGUCCCACAAGCCAACCUCUGCGUUGAAGAAAAUCCCGCUUGUCUGGCCAUUUGCAGUUUGGGGAUUAGAUACAGUUGGACCAUUCAAGACAGGCCAAGAAGGCUACACUCAUCUGUUGGUGGCAGUCGACAAGUUUACAAAAUGGAUAGAAGCCAAGCCCAUCAAGAAACUCGACGCCUCAACAGCCGUCAAGUUUGUGAGGGACAUCAUCUCCAGAUUCGGUGUACCUCACAGCAUAAUCACGGAUAACGGGACAAACUUUGACUCGGACAGAUUCAAAGGUUUUUGUGCAAGCCAAGGUAUCCGAGUGGAUUUUACUUCCGUAGCACACCCUCAAUCCAAUGGAAAAGCAGAGCGGGCGAAUGGACUUAUUCUUCAGGGUUUGAAGCCCCGACUCCUGCGAGAGGUGGGCCAUGCCGCAGGCGCAUGGGUCACCGAGUUACCUUCAGUACUUUGGGGUCUUCGCACAACCCCGAACAGAUCUACACGGUCAUCGCCGUUCUUCCUCGUUUAUGGAGCAGAAGCGGUCCUUCCAAGUGACUUGCUUCAUAAUGCUCCAUGAGUCGAGCUCUUCUCCGAAGUUGAAGCAGAACAAGCAAGGCAAGAUGGAGUGGACCUUCUAGAGGAGGAGCGCGAGAUGGCACUGACUCGCUCAACCAUUUAUCAACAAGAUCUGCGGCGGUUUCAUGCACGCCACGUCAGGAGUUGCACGUUCCAAGCAGGCGACCUGGUGCUCCGAGUGGAUCAGCAAAGACCUCACAAGUUAGCCCCGGCCUGGGAAGGACCCUUCAUCAUCUCCAAGGUGCUGAACAAUGGAGCAUACAGACUCUACAACAUCUAGAGGGAGACAGACGAGCCGCGUGCAUGGAAUGGAGACCUCUUGAAGCGCUUCUACACGUGAUCGUCGACUGAAGCAGUGUAAAGAACUAGUAUUGAUGAAAUAAUAUAAAGCGGAUUCAGUUUUUGCAGACUCAGAAUUCUUCCGCAGUUGCAGACUCCAGUCACACACAAAAAACUUAGUUGCGAUUCAGAAUCGCCUAAGUUAUAACUUUCUCCGAGUGUGCACUAAGCGUCGCACUCGGAGACUUAGCUGUCAUCAAGAAUCACCUAAGUACUAACUUCUCCGAGUGUGCGCUAAACGUCGCACUCGGGGACUUAGCUGUGAUCAAGAAUCACCUAAGUUCUAACUUUCUCCGAGUGUGCACUAAGCGUCGCACUCGGGGACUUAGCUGUGAUCAGGAAUCACCUAAGUAAUAACCUUCUCCGAGUGUGCACUAAACGUCGCACUCGGGGACUUAGCUGUGAUCACGAAUCACCUAAGUAAUAACUUUCUCCGAGUGUACACUAAGCGUCGCACUCGGGGACUUAGCUGUGAUCAGGAAUCACCUAAGUAAUACCCUUCUCCGAGUGUGCACUAAACGUCGCACUCGGGGACUUAACUGUGAUCAUGAAUCAACUAAGUAAUAACUUUCUCCGAGUGUGCACUAAGCGUCGCACUCGGGGACUUAGCUGUGAUCAAGAAUCACCUAAGUAAUAACCUCCUCCGAGUGUACACUAAGCGUCGCACUCGGGGACUUAGCUAUGAUCAAGAAUCACCUAAGUAAUAACUUCCUCCGAGUGUGCACUAAGCGUCGCACUCAGAGACUUAGCUGUGAUCACGAAUCACCUAAGUAAUAACUUUCUCCGAGUGUGCACUAAGCGUCGCACUCGGGGACUUAGCUGUGAUCAAGAAUCACCUAAGUAAUAACUUCCUCCGAGUGUGCACUAAGCGUCGCACUCGGAGACUUAGCUGUGAUCAAGAAUCACCUAAGUAAUAACUUUCUCCGAGUGCGCACUAAGCGCCGCACUCGGGGACUUAGCCAUGAUCAAGAAUCACCUAAGUAAUAACCUCCUCCGAUUGUACACUAAGCGUCGCACUCGGGGAUUUAGCUGUGAUCAAGAAUCACUUAAGUAAUAACUUCCUCCGAGUGUGCACUAAACGUCGCACUCGGGGACUUUGGUGUGAUCAAGACUCACCUAAGUAAUCACUUUCUCCGAGUGUGCACUAAACGUCGCACACGAAACAACAUUCAAACACAAGAGUAAACGCUUUGAUUCGGAUUCCAAAAUUCUCACAAAGAUAGCUAACUUGGUGCGGAUCAAGCUUACCGGCACCGAUUUAAGAAUGUGACGGCCAACGGCAGUGGCCAAAGUACCUUACAGAUAAACACUCAGCAUACCAAGGAUAAAGUUUUCUUACGCGUCAGCUGGGUCGGCGCCAGGACUGGAGGGCUCCACGAAGGUGUCCAAGUCGAUUCCGUCGGCGAUGCGAGUAGCACUCUCAAGGAACGUCUCCAGAAGUCUUCGAAUCGAACCUUCUUCGUGUUGGCGACCUUCAAUGUCUUCAGUUUCUUCUCACGCACCUCCUUGCAAUGGACUCGGACCAAGGACAGAGCAACAUCUGCACCGCAACGCGCUGCAGAUUUCUUCCACGAUUGCACUCGGUUCGGAAUCUCCUCCAGUCGCGCCAUCAGGCUCUCCAUCUCCUGCCGCGACUCAUCUUCUGGCCAAAGCUCCUUGUCAAUUCGGCCGACAACCUCUCUCAGUCGACCGAUGAAAGGACCCACUUUGCCCACGCGGAUGUGCGCCCGGAGCAGAUCCCGAUUGGCGUCCUCGCCGAGUGGCACGUUGUCGCGAAUGGACCGCUCCACGUCCGCUGCUUCAGCUUCCGCAUCAAUGCAAAAAUCUGCAACAGAAGGGCAAGCAUACAAUAAACGCCGAGUGUCACGCACACAGUACAAGCACUCAGCAAAAAAAAUAGGACUUACCAGCCAGACGCGUCAUCAUCUGCCCAGCCCAGUCGCUGACAUACUUCUCCUGAGCUAUGCAUCGUUUAUUCAGGACGACCAUCUGAUUCGUGAGAGCAGUCCUCUGUUUCUUCAUCUUUUCAACUUCCUCAGUUAACACCUUGUUCGCUUCUCGAGCCUCCUCCAAGGACUUCUCUCGCCCCGCCAAAGCAUCCUUCAUGCCGGCCAUUGCGAGCAUGGCCGCAUCAAGCUCACCAGCGAACUGAUUCCUCUCCGCCCUGAGAGCCUCAUAGGCCGUCCCCAUUUCACAAGUUUUCUGCCAACAAGCACCAAGGGACAAUCAGAAAGCUCAACGAUUAAAAGUCUAAGUUCUUCAGACCCCUGCCGACGCAAGCAGUCGACAGCGGUCUCGGGGACUACACCCAGUGGGUUCACUGAGAGUGACCCCACUGGCAUGCAGCUCAAGCAGGCCUGUCCUAUUGAGAUGCAUGUUAUCACCUACGCCUACGAGGCCAAUACUACCCGACCUGAGUAUAACUUACUCUCGGGGACUCUUACAGUAAGUGCACUCCGAGUGCAACAACUGCUCGCACUCGGUCAUAUUAUUUACAAACACAACCAAAGUAAAGACAAUAUGUAUAAAGACAACUGUCGAUGCAAGCACUCGACAGAAGUCUCGGGGACUACACCCACUGGGUUCACUCAGAGUGAACCCACUAGAAACAACAGCUGCUAUUCAAGAACACCCAGUGGGUUACAAGAGAAAAGUAAAUACUUACUAGACCACUUACUCGGAUAUCAUCCCGUAGCUCUAAGCUCCGCUGGUACAAGGCCACAACAGAGUCGUAGGCCCUCUUGGCUUCUCCAGCCAUCAGCUCCGCCUGCAACAUAGCUCCCUUGGCCGCUCCCACCUGCUCCUCCGGAAGACGCUGGAUGCUGAAUUCAGCAUUCAACGAGCCUGGAAUCGUCGGAAGUUCCUGAGGCAUCCCAAGGUCCGCCCCAGUCGGCUCCUCUCCACCAGCACUGAUUCAGUCUGUGGCAACGCCUCAGUCGGCAGCACGUCGGCGUCGAGAGCAGCAGCAGGAGGAGCAGCCUCAAGAACAGGCUCCACAGCUGGGUCAGCUCUCCCCUGGUCGCCCUCGUCCAGGCAAAUCGCCCCUGACAGGCCGAAUGACACGAGGUCUCAGAAAAAGAAAGAAGCAGGACCUAUGAUAGAAUUCGAGACGCGAUAGUAUAAAACACUCGGCGUCCCUACAACGCACCUGGCUGGGACGAGACGACGUUCUCCUUGUCCAUGGGAUCAUCUUCCUGGCGCGCCGGAGAGGUGGCAGAAGUAGCGACUCUGUCGAGUGAAAUCCAUUCGGCCAGUAAACAGAAGUUCACUCGGAUAUCAGAAAGAAUUGAAAGCUGGAUACACUUACGUGGAGGUGACAGGGACAGCAACCCUCAUUCGCGGCAGAGCCUUCCGAGGCUUAGGCCCACUCGGUUUGGCUGCCUUAGAAGACUGACCCGCAGGCUCAGCGGCGGCAUCCCUGGUCCUCCUAGUGCUUCGAACACUCGGGACCACUGGAGCAGUGGGCGGAGCACUCGAAGACGCGGGAGGAGCCGAGGGGACGACGGGCUCGUGUCGGCGCUUGGUCCGAUGCUCUAGUUGCGGAGGCGGCGAGUCCUGCUCUUCGUCUUAUUCCUCCUCCUCGUUGGUCUCCUCCUCCGAUUCCCCGCUGUCGGAGACGUACUCGGCGCUCUCCACGCUGCCCUCCUGGCUGCCUUCCUCCUCUUCCUCAGCCGGAUUCCCAUUCGAGACGGGGGAGAACCAGUUGGUCCACGCGUGCGUAAAUUUCAGUCGGCAACAUCAGACAUCUCACAGAGAUACAAACAAACGACAGGAAUUAAGACAGUUCAGUGCACUCGACAAGUGUUACUCGCCUGAUUCGGUGGAGGAUGAUCCGCGUUGUAAGGCUUCACUCGCCGAGAUCCUUUGGGAUUCUCGCACGGCCCAUGAUUUGGAGCACCCACGAGGUCACCCUCUCUUCAGUCACGCCCACCACGUUGGUCCGAGUGGAGUCUUCGGGCCCCGUGUAAUGCCACAUGGCAUGGUCGCGAGCCUGCAAAGGCUGGAUACGCCGACCGAGGAAGACCUCCCGCAAGUCUAUGCCGGUGACCCUCCUCCUGACGACAUCCACGAGUGCCUCAACCAAAGGCUGGAUGUCAUUCUUCUCCUCCUUCGAGAGCGCGAGCUGCUUAGGUGGGGCGGGCCGAUCUAAACUAAAGGGAGGCAGCCCAGUCGACGCAUUCGGACAGGCGAUAUCCUCGCAGUAGAACCACGUCGACUGCCAGUUCCUGACCGACUCACUUAACUGAAGAGCAGGAUAACUACUCCGACUCUUUUUCUGGAAACCUAAGCCCCCGCGGAGCUGGAGGAUAUGCGUCUUAUCAUCCGACUGGCUAAGUCGUUUGAUGGUUUGGGAUCUGGCGGAAAAGAUGUGUUUGAACAAACCCCAAUGGGGAGGGCAGCCGAUGAAACACUCGCACAAAACUAUGAAGGCAGAGAGAUGGGCAAUGGCAUUCGGGGGAAAGUGAUGAAGUUGAGCCCCGAAGUGAUUCAUGAUGUCCUUGAAGAAACGAUGCGGGGGCAAGGAGAAACCUCGAUGGACGUGGCUGAGCAGCAAGACGCGCUCCCCCUCCCGAGGCGCCGGCUCGACCUCGUUCUCCGCCGGCAGCCUCCAGGACUUGUGCACGAUCAUCCCGUGCUCCACCAGCUGCAGCAGAUCCCCCUCCGUCACCGUGGAGGGGAGGAAGUCGCCCCAUCCCGCCGGCAGCGGCCGCCGCCACCGCUGAGCAGGCGCCGCCGUCUUCCCCUUCUUCUUCCUCGCCUCCAUCUUGCUGGUCUGACCCUUGGUCAUGGCGGCAGCUGCGAGCCCUGGGGAGGAAGGAGAAGGGAGGAGUAUAGAAGCGCUGGAGGUGGCGAGAAGGGCGGAGCAGGCGAGAGCAAGGGAUUCGGCGAGCGUAACGGAGAAGCCUCGCCACCGAGAUUUAAAUAGGGUUCCGACUGGGUCGCUGGCAGGUGGCCCCGAAACCUUAUCCUCCCGACCCACCGCGGUGAUAUUAGUGGAGAGGUUGAAGGCGCGAGAAUCGAGGCGUCAGGCGCUACUCGAGCGCGCUGGCGUCAUCCCCGCUGAGCGCGCGGAAACCGAAAUUUGAGGAUCCCGGAAAAUCCACCGCUGUCAGUUGACCGGUCGCGUCAGAAGAUGCCGCCGAAGCACUCGGCUCCCGACAGUCUGUUUCGCGAGUACUUCCACUCGGAUCGUCGAUCAGAAAAGUCAAAAUGGACCGAGGCAAGCAACGCCCAAGCCAAGUCUGUUCCAGUCGGAUCCAACUUCAAACAUCGCUUCAUCGUUCCAACCCCAAUCCAUUCGGGGACUAAUGAUGGGGUUAUAGUCCUAGGGUAGGGUCAUAGGCCUGCCCUGUAGGUCCUACCCAAGGACUACCCCUCGCAAAGGACUAGACCCUUAGUCAGCUCCGACUGAAUUAAGGAAUCCCUGUCGUCCAGUCGGUAACAUACCAUCGGUCCUCCAGUCGGCGACUAGCAUUCGGAGCAUAUCAGGCUAACCGACUGUAUACCACUCGAUACAUCGUAACCCCCCUGGAGGGAAACGGUCGUACGUUUCCACGUGCAUUUAUUAGCAUUUAGGGCGUACGUUACCUGUAACGUACACAUUCAAUCGCCAGUACUCCACCCCUGCACCAGAACCGUUGUGGAGGGCAGCGCACUCAAUAUAAGCCACCCUCCCCCACUGGUAAAGGGGUUAGCAAUCCAUUGUAUUCCCUAUUCCACUCGACAACAAAGCUCCCUGAGCACUGAGACGUAGGGCUAUCACCUCCACCGCAGAGGGGCCCGAACUCAUACAUCCUCGCCGUAGCUGGGACUCUGCCCAUCCUUUUCGUACCCUACACAUCUACUGUCAGGCUUAUACCCACGCCAUUGUCCGUCUUGAAAAUUACCCCUAAAGUUUACAUAAAUUACCCACCAUGACACCGGUAAGUAAUAGAAAACGUUUCACAAAGCGAAAAAUCUUGAACUGGGCCGGCCCAUGUAAAAACCUCCUAUAUUACGCUCUGCACGCUGGGAGCAUAUCCAGCACACCGUAUGGGCCGGCCCAUGCACAGGCGCCUGCUUUUAGUUUCGUUUAUUUAUUUAUUUUCAGUUCCGUUUUGUUUUUUUAUUUUAAAUAAUUUAGAACUUUAAAUGNNNNNNNNNNNNNNNNNNNNNNNNNNNNNNNNNNNNNNNNNNNNNNNNNNNNNNNNNNNNNNNNNNNNNNNNNNNNNNNNNNNNNNNNNNNNNNNNNNNNNNNNNNNNNNNNNNNNNNNNNNNNNNNNNNNNNNNNNNNNNNNNNNNNNNNNNNNNNNNNNNNNNNNNNNNNNNNNNNNNNNNNNNNNNNNNNNNNNNNNNNNNNNNNNNNNNNNNNNNNNNNNNNNNNNNNNNNNNNNNNNNNNNNNNNNNNNNNNNNNNNNNNNNNNNNNNNNNNNNNNNNNNNNNNNNNNNNNNNNNNNNNNNNNNNNNNNNNNNNNNNNNNNNNNNNNNNNNNNNNNNNNNNNNNNNNNNNNNNNNNNNNNNNNNNNNNNNNNNNNNNNNNNNNNNNNNNNNNNNNNNNNNNNNNNNNNNNNNNNNNNNNNNNNNNNNNNNNNNNNNNNNNNNNNNNNNNNNNNNNNNNNNNNNNNNNNNNNNNNNNNNNNNNNNNNNNNNNNNNNNNNNNNNNNNNNNNNNNNNNNNNNNNNNNNNNNNNNNNNNNNNNNNNNNNNNNNNNNNNNNNNNNNNNNNNNNNNNNNNNNNNNNNNNNNNNNNNNNNNNNNNNNNNNNNNNNNNNNNNNNNNNNNNNNNNNNNNNNNNNNNNNNNNNNNNNNNNNNNNNNNNNNNNNNNNNNNNNNNNNNNNNNNNNNNNNNNNNNNNNNNNNNNNNNNNNNNNNNNNNNNNNNNNNNNNNNNNNNNNNNNNNNNNNNNNNNNNNNNNNNNNNNNNNNNNNNNNNNNNNNUUGUAAAAUUAUUCACGGAAGAUCUAAUGUAUGUAGUUAAACAAUAAUGCUUCUAAGUCUUUGUGACAAUAUAUCUGUGUAAAUUUUGAAGAAUUAACUAUUGGAUGGAUCGGAUUAUUAUUGUAUGUUUUCUAAAAAAAUCUUGAAAUUCAAAAUAAAUCUUUGAGUUACCAAGAUUUUUGACAACCAUGAUAUAUUUUUUUUGAAAAUGUAAAAAUUGCUUCAACUUGUGAAUAAAUUUGAAAGAAGAAAUAUUUUCUUGCGUUUGUGCACAAAAUUUCUAAAUCAAGCGAUGAUAUGUGAACAUAAUAUGGUCNAGUGCUUCUGUCGUCCGUCAUUGAUAUUAUGCCCAAAGUUGACAUUAAUUACCCACUGUGCCAUCGAUAAGUAAGGAAAACGCUUUGAUUUUUUCCCCAAAAAGUCGCGGCGUAGUCCUUUAUUUUAUGGAGAUGUUACAAUAGCAUCACCAAUGGACUAGCGUUGUAGUGGCUGAGGCCUAGCACUCCUAGCCAGGCGACCAGGGUUCGAUCCCCACAUCUUGCACAUUGUUUUCGUUUUCUCACACAAGGCCUUUCCCUAUGUGUCUGUCUUCAUGAGCUGGGCCGGCCCAUCUGUUGAUCUACAUUCCGUUGUCUUCUUCUAAUUUUCUUUUUNNNNNNNNNNNNNNNNNNNNNNNNNNNNNNAACAUUCAAGAAAUUAUAAAAUGCAUGAGAGUUUGAUUUUUAAGGAAAUUAUAGAAGUUUCAUGGAUUCAAAAUAUAUUGGUGUAUUUGUAAACUGUUUGCAAAUUACAAAACAAAAUCACAAUUUGAAAAAUAAAUAGUCGGGAAAGAAAAUCAUGUUCUUGAUUUUGAAAAAAAAUGAUCAUUUGUUCAAAACAUAUUCGGGAAUCUGCAAAUAGUGUCCAUCAAUUUUUACAAAAUGUUCACAAAAAGUAAAAAAACACAAAUUUUAAAAUUUGUUCCCCCAUUUUAAAAAAGUUAAACGAUUCAAAACAUGUUUGUUGAGUCAAAAAAUGCUCAUGAAUUCAAAAAAAUCCAUGCAUUUAACAAAAUGUUCAUACACAAAACAAAAAGGAAAAAAAUGUUCGUACAAAAAAUACAUUUCAGAAUAUGUGCACAAAAAUUCUCUAGAGCAAGUAGGACAAUGCUUUAUCAAUGUGAACAAAUUGUACUACCCUCCCGAGUGGUUUCCUGAUAAAUCUCAGUUUGUUCGUAAUGAACCUAUGCUUUUUUUUGUAGUAACAUGUUUUGAAGAUCUAUAGAUGGAAAUGUGUAUAUCAUUAGGUGAUUUGUUAACAAUUUAGAUUUUUGUUGCAAAUAAUUAUGCUUCAUCUUCUUUUCAUUUGCUGUACUCCAAAUUUGAAGGUUGAUAUUAUAUAAAUUGUACCAAAUUAAUAAAUAUUGGUUGUGAGAAAAAAAUUAGUAUGUAACAAUCACGAACAUUAGGAAGCAAUUCAAGGAAGGCGGCCCUCACAGUCUAGCUCAGCAAGAUUAGUUAUUAAAGUUAUAAAUGUUCUCUUAUGCCGGUGUGGUUAAAUGUCAUUGUGGUGGAUGAGUUUAUCGCCUCAAGAUUGACCAUGUUCACACAUGUGCGACAAGGUGAACGACCUAAUGGUAGAAAGAAGGAUAACUAUGAGACGGAUGGGUUACUGUAUGUAAGUGGAUGAGGCAGAUUGUGUGUGCGGUGAUGGAUUUUGAUGUUAUUAUUUUUCGCACGGUGCAACGGGCAUUUGUACUAGUAUAUAUNGCUGCCCGACGCCGACGCGCCAUCGCUCGCCGGACACACGCACAUGCCUGCACGCGCGGCGGGGUGGGGGGACGGGGACCCAUGCGCCCGGCUCGACCGGCGCACGGCCCGCCGGAGUGGAUUGGAGCCGGGCAACCACAAACCCAAUCGGGGAUCCAAGGGGCUUCAGUUUCUGUUCGCCGUCGGCCCUGGAGAGCGGACGAGCGUGCCCAUUCCGUGGCUGUGCGAUGCCACUGUCGCGGCCUUUUCCGUACUGCAUACAGAGUGUUAAUUGGAGUUUUGGAUUCAUCCACCGCCUGGCGUGCACCAACUAUGCCAUGCCAGCGGCUCAAGAUUUCUGAAAGAGGGUAUACAGAUACAGAGCUAGUAUUCUAUACAGAUAUAUGCCACGCUCUUUUCCAUGUUUUUUCCGCCAAAUUGCAAGUACUAUUAUAGAACAACGACAAUGGUCUCCGAUCGGACAAAUUCUCGUGCUCGGCGCAGACAUGCCAUGCCAUGCCAUCGCUCGCGUGCCGACGGUGACGGUGGCGAAUCUCCAUCUGAACCCGGCCGUUGGCUCGUGGCCGGGCCGACGCAUGCUCCCGCUGUAAAAGUGAAAGCAGCGAUGAACUUCUAGUAGCUCCAUGUUACUUCUCGUUUAGCCGCCGCGUCAAAGAGAGGUUUAUUCAGGUCACCGCCUGAAGCUCAACUCCGUCCACCUUUUUACUCUACUCGACUUUCCCCCACAUGAGCUCACACACAUUUUGAGGACGUACACAUGCAUUGGCAGCAAGAACACAAAACAACAACAAGAAGAACCCAGCUACUAGCUACAUCCAUGAAUGAAUAAUGAAGCAAUCCAUGGCCAGCCGAUUGAGAUGAAGGAUUGUUUCGGAUCCCUUUUCUUUGUCCGAGGAAUCGAACAACAGAUGCAUCCAUCCCCUACUAAACCUAGAAUGAACGAAUUGCGCAAAUCGCAGCAGCAAUGGCCGAUCCAACAACCACCACGAUUUAGCUUGUGCUUGACGAGGACUCGAGGUUCAUGAAAGAACCCAUUUUCCGAUCAUUGGCCGGCAAGUUCUGGAAGUGCCAGUGCGGAUGGCCGUCAUUUUGAGCCGACGCCNNNNNNNNNNNNNNNNNNNN